AUUGAACGCUGGCGGCAGGCCUAACACAUGCAAGUCGAACGAGUGGCGGACGGGUGAGUAAUGUCUGGGAAAAUGCCUGAUGGAGGGGGAUAACUACUGGAAACGGUAGCUAAUAACGCAUAUCAUCGGAUGUGCCCAGAUGGGAUUAGCUAGUAGGGGGGGUAACGGCUCACGUAGGCGACGAUCCCUAGCUGGUCGUAGAGGAUGACCAGCCAAACUGGAACUGAGACACGGUCCAGACUCCUACGGUAGGCAGCAGUGGGGAAUAUUGCACAAUGGGCGCAAGCCUGAUGCAGCGAUGCCGCGUGUAUGAAGAAGGCCUUCGGGUUGUAAAGUACGUUCAGCGGGGAGGCGUUACCCGCAGAAGAAGCACCGGCUAACUCCGUGCCAGCAGCCGCGGUAAUUC
rnacentral:rRNA from 1 species